AAAACGGAGAGUUUGAUCCUGGCUCAGGAUGAACGCUGGCGGUAUGCUUAACACAUGCAAGUCGAACGGGGUGCUUAGGCAUCUAGUGGCGGACGGGUGAGUAACGCGUGAGAAUCUGGCUCCAGGUCGGGGAUAACAGUUGGAAACGACUGCUAAUACCGGAUGUGCCGAGAGGUGAAAGAUUUAUUGCCUGGAGAUGAGCUCGCGUCUGAUUAGCUAGUUGGUGGUGUAAGGGACCACCAAGGCGUCGA
rnacentral:rRNA from 1 species